GCUGAGCAUGGGCGGCGGCCGUCCCGGCGGCUCGCACCCGUCGGGUGGCCGGCUGGCCGCCUCGUCCGGCGCGACGGCUCUCUACC
rnacentral:tRNA from 1 species